ensembl:lncRNA
GGCUAUAAAACCUUUCCCCACCCCUCAUACCUCGCAGACUCCCUUUGCUUCCUUGCUCACCCGCCCCCGGGAGUUCUGCCUGAGAGCGACCGCCCAAUAAAGGCUCUGAUCAACGGUCCAUAGAGGGGGCUCUUUCUUCCCGCGGCGUUUCUUACAUCUGGCACCCAACGUGGGGCUCGAGGUGAGGGCCCCCGGCACUCGCCGUUGAGGCCCCCUCGAGCUCCACCGCCGCGGAAGCCCCGGACCCAGGCGGCUGACCAACCCCCCGGACGGCAGGAUACGGGAUCUCUCAGCAGGUGGCUGCGGCCCUGGGUAUCGGCUGGCAUCUCCACAUCCCCUAUCGGCCCCAAUCGUCAGGCAAGGUAGAGCAGAUGAACGGCAUCAUCAAGACGCAUCUGACCAAGCUUGCCUCAGAGCUGCGGCUGUCUUGGGUCGACCUCCUUCCUCUGGCGCUCACUCGCACUCGCACCACACAACACUCCAAAACAGGAUCCUUGCUGAGGGAACACGCAGACCGGG